GUUUUGCGCAGAUCACAAAUACAAGAUCAAAAAAAAAAAAAAAAAAUGAGUGCUAACACAUUGUCCCUACACAAAACCGGAGGAUAGACACUUGUUUUAGUUCUGACUUUCGACGAAGAGAGAAUUGCCGAACUGACGAAUUUACCAACAAAAAGUUUUGCAAACGUGGUGUUGCCGCCAAUAAGUGGAAGACAGCCAAGCCCUCACGUGAUAGUUAGCGCAGCCGAGAAUGACAUUCCAAGCAAGAAACGAAAAUAAGAAAUAACCUUUGUGGCGCCGCCACUGUCAAACAAUCAGUAAUUGACGACGAAUUCGCAGGAUUAAAUUAUGGAGGGGAGCGCUCAAAAGCCACAUCGCAGUGGGAGUAUUAUUUAAACUUCGUAGAAAAUGCCUUUAAAUCCUUGGUCAUUUCAGUAAAUCCCAUCUUCUGUAUGAACAAUACCUAAAACUCUAUAUUUUUCUGUCGGCAUUUAGUACGUGAACAGCGGCCUUUGGCCGAAUAAGACAGAGCAUUACCAAUUUUGGCAUCGAAGCCAACACAUUUCAUAUAAGCGACACAUUCACAUGGCUAGGACACCGCGAAACGAACCGGCCCCUUUUUUAGGAUGCACUUUGAGUACACGCAGUCCCUUUUUGCAAAAUAAAUUUGCAAUAAAUUGUAGGCAUGUCAGUCGGAAUUAGACUUUUUAGAAAAACUUCCAAUUCAAUAGAAAAUUUCGAUUCAAUACGAACUUUAUAGAAUUUUCCAACUUAAACAAAUCAUACUUUUUCGAGAUUUAAAGAAAACAGACUAAUUUAUUCAAUUCAAUUUCUUCUUAUAUACAUUUUUUUGUAUUGUACAUUACUGAAAGAAAACCCAGCUCAAACACUCAAAGAUGUUUCGAACAGCUUAGCAGUUCACGAACCCACUAUUUUUAGACGGUUACAUGCGAUGGAAACGAUCCAAAAAAAAAGGACACUUAUUGCAAGAGUUACCUAGGGAUACACUAUUGCAGCUCGAACGGGAAGUACUGCCAUACCCAGCAUACUCACCAGACGAAGCGUUUUCUGAUUACCACUUGUUUACACUGAUGAAGCAUGGCUUGGUUGGCACCUAGCUCCGCAAAGUUGAAGAAGUGCAAAAAUUGAUCGGUGGUUGGAUCAUUGUCAAACCGGUAUAAGUUCUUUCAGAACGAUAUCGCCAUCUUGCUGGAAAUAUGUGAAAAUAUGUUAAAAUUACAUGCAAGCGCCUGAUACGCAUACCAUAGCACACAUUCACACACAAAACACAGAAUUCUGCUUUGCGAACAUUUGAGAAAACGUCACGUCAUAUCAAGCAGCUACUAAUAGAAUCUUUGGCCAUACAAAUAUUAAGAAUGAGAGCACAAGCGAUCAAAUUACAACUAAUUAAGAGUUACUGCAGUUAUUAAAUAACAAAAACGAAAAGUCUGUAAAAAUUCCCAAGAUUGAAUUUUGAACAAUAUGUUAGACAAUCUUGUCGUUUAUUUAUCCCCGGGAGUACAUAAUGAUUUUAUUGCGCAAGUGCUGCUAACGAAAUGUCUUGUUUUAUAAUGUCUAAUAUUUUUGAUCUUAUCCAAUUGUUAUUUUUGUUUUUAAUAUAAUAUGUAGUGAAAACAGAAAUUUGUCAACGAAACACAUUAUUUUAAGAUAGAAGAACAGGAACUAUUGAUUUGUUUUAGAAAUAAGCUUCCUUAAACUCGUCGACUAACUCGUCUUUGUGGUUCGAAAUUACAAUUAGGUGUUAACACAUGUGCAAAAAAUGCAAGGAAUCUAAUUAACGCUCGCUUAUAAACUGGAUGUUAAUCCCUGCUUGAAUUAAGAAAAUGAAGAGAAUUAGUGGAGACAUAUGGCCUACAAAAAGUGAAAAGGAUGAAAUAACACUGAGUAUUUUAGUUUGCUUUUUUAUUCAGCAUUAUUUCUAGUCAGACACAAAACGGCAUUCAAAAAUCUUCGAUAUUGUUUAUACCUAAACUUUGCAUUGUAUAGAAAAGAAAACACAAAAAACUAUAAACUCUAUCUAAAGCAAAAAUUUUCUUUACAUAUUCGCACACAAUUGAACUUUACGUUUGUCGCUGGACGAUUUGAACCAAAAAGUGAGAUGCAUACAACAAAUCUCAACGAAAAGUUACGUAGAUGCAACAAUCUGCUCGAUAAAGACUGAAAGAAGAGUUUGAAACAAUUCACAAUCAAAAUUAUUUCCGAAUAAUUAUGUAUGAAAACUGUAUACAUCGUUUCCGCUUUUUGGUAAUUUUGCAUUAUGAAUGACAUCGUCACCCAUUAUUUCUUAGCAACUCUCUUUUUUUGGAAUAUACAUGCACAACAGCUGUAACAUGACCGCUUUCAUAUAUGUCAAAUGAGACGGAAGCAAUUGUUUGGAACAAGUUGACGUUAAAAUUUAAUGUUCAGAGUUGCAUACAUAAGAAAAAUUAGCUCUAAAAAAACAACAAUAUAAAAAAAAUUAUUUUACGUACAAACAGAACUGUACAAACAAGUUCGAAAUUGUAAGCGGCAGUAAUUUACGUAACUAACUACCGUUACACUUCUGCGUUCUAAUAAAAGAAAAUCUGUGUCAUGAAGCUAGGUCAACAUUCGUAAUAUCUACUGAUCACAACUGUUCCUAAGUGUAAAGUAAGCAUGCAUGUCAUCGCAUGUAUUGAUUAAGAAAAUGAGUUUUCUUCUGAUCUAUUAAA